AUGCCACCGGAUAGAGACAUUGAAUUUUUGAUUGAGCUUUUGCCAGGCACAUGGCCAAUAUCUAAGAGACCAUACAGGAUGCUCGCAAAAGAUUUGGAGGAGAUUAAGAAGCAGAUUAAGGAGUUACUGGAUAAAGGCUAUAUUCGCCCAAGUUAUUCACCUUGGGGAUCGCCAGUGCUUCUAGUGGAGAAGAAGGAUGGAUCAUUAAGGAUGGUUGUUGAUUAUCGAGGAUUGAAUGAAGUGACCAUCAAGAACAAGUACCCAUUGCCGAUGAUCAAUGAUCUGUUUGACCGAUUGCAAGGAGCUAAGGUAUUUUCCAAGAUCGAUUUGUGA
rnacentral:rRNA from 1 species